rnacentral:rRNA from 1 species
UAGGGAAUCUUCCGCAAGGGGCGAAAGCCUGACGGAGCAACGCCGCGUGAGUGAUGAAGGUCUUCGGAUCGUAAAACUCUGUUAUUAGGGAAGAACAAAUGGGUAAGUAACUAUGCACGUCUUGACGGUACCUAAUCAGAAAGCCACGGCUAACUACGUGCCAGCAGCGGCGGUAAUAAGUAGGUGGCAAGCGUUAUCCGGAAUUAUUGGGCGUAAAGCGCGCGUAGGCGGUUUUUUAAGUCUGAUGUGAAAGCCCACGGCUCAACCGUGGAGGGUCAUUGGAAACUGGAGAACUUGAGUGCAGAAGAGGAAAGUGGAAUUCCAUGUGUAGCGGUGAAAUGCGCAGAGCUAUGGCGGAACACCAGUGGCGAAGGCGACUUUCUGGUCUGUCUCUGACGCUGAUGUGCGAAAGCGUGGGGAUCAAACAGG